GUGGGGAAUUUUGGACAAUGGGCGAAAGCCUGAUCCAGCAAUGCCGCGUGUGUGAAGAAGGCCUUCGGGUUGUAAAGCACUUUUGGCAGGGAAGAAACAGUGCGUGCUAAUACCAUGCGCGAAUGACGGUACCUGCAGAAUAAGCACCGGCUAACUACGUGCCAGCAGCCGCGGUAAUACGUAGGGUGCAAGCGUUAAUCGGAAUUACUGGGCGUAAAGCGUGCGCAGGCGGCGUUGUAAGACGGAUGUGAAAGCCACGGGCUCAACCUGGGAAGUGCAUUCGUGACUGCAAGGCUAGAGUGUGGCAGAGGGAGGUGGAAGUCCGCGUGUAGCAGUGAAAUGCGUAGAGAUGCGGAGGAACACCGAUGGCGAAGGCAGCCUCCUGGGAUAACACUGACGCUCAGGCACGAAAGCGUGGGGAGCGAACAGGAUUAGAAACCCUAGUAGUCC
rnacentral:rRNA from 1 species